ensembl:snRNA U6 U6 spliceosomal RNA
GUGCUCCCUUCAGCAGCACAUAGACUAAAAUUGGAAUAAUACUGAGAAGAUUAGCCUGGCCCCUGCUCAAUAAUGACACAAAAGUUUGUGAAGCAUUCCACAUUUUU